UGCUUUAUUAAGGUUGUGAUUUGGAAUAAAUUGUAUUUACUGAUUCUGCGAAUACUUUACCUUAAAUUGAAUCUUGAUUUCCAUUUCCUAAGUGGGUUACUGAAAGGAUCCUAUUUGGAGAGUAGGAUUUACUGCAAAAAUAAGAUCUGGUUAAGCCAAAGGUCCAAAUCCUUAAAUCCAUUUAAGUAGAGGCAUUAAUCAAUCAAGCACUUAAGUAGAGGCAUUAAUCAAUCAAGCAUUUAAGUAGAGGCAUUAAUCAAUCGAGCAUUUAAGUAGAGGCAUUAAUCAAUCAAGCAUUUAAGUAGAGGCAUUAAUAAAUUGAGCAUUUAAGUAGAGGCAUUAAUCAAUCAAGCAUUUAAGUAGAGACAUUAAUCAAUCAAGCAAAUGAAGGGAUUCUAACUCAAGGUUCAUCUAUAAGUUUUUCUUUUGGGCUAGAUAAGGAUUUACUAAGGUAGAGGAGUAUGAAUAGAAGGACCAAUUUGUGUUAGUUGUAACAAGUUUUAGUUAUGUCCUUGAAAAAGAGCUGUGGAGACUCAAAGAAGAAUGUAAUUGUGAAGAUGAAUUACUGAAAACCAUUGUGUGAUCUCACUGUGUUGCUAUUGUGAAGGUUCUCACAUCAAGCUAAAGGCUGUAUAAAUUGUUUUGGCAGCUGCAUUAAUUGAUCACUGCAUUGUCUUCAUUUUCAUUACUUUUUUUAUACUCUAAUGAUUCCUCCUUUUUUCAUUACAUCUCAUUUGAUGUGAAGUUGUUUCAAGAUAUCAUUUUUAUCACUUCUAUUUAAAUCAAAUGAAUGUAUCUUAAAUAUAUUUCUUAUAGCAUCAAGAUUCGAGAGUAACUAUUUAAUUAUUUACUUCAACAGUUGGUGCUAAUGGAUCUGGGAAGACAAACUUUUUUCAUGGUAUGAAAAUUGCCAUUUCUUUAUCCUCUGAUUUAUUUGUUGACUGUCUUUUUAGUCUUUAUGAAGUAACUUAAAUAAGAUCUGUCAUUUUUCACUCCAUUUUCUCCCUUUGUCUUUUGUAUCUAGCCAUUCGUUUCGUGUUGAGCGAUCUCUUUCAGAACCUACACAGUGAGGAUAGGCAGGCACUACUCCAUGUAUGACACAGUCCAUAUUUCCUUUUAAUUGUUCUUUUUAUCUUACCUAUCCCUAAUCAAUUAUAGAUUUUGAUCAUGCUUAUAUGAAUGAUUCUGUUUACAGGAAGGGGCUGGACACCAGGUUUUAUCUGCAUUUGUGGAGAUUGUGUUUGAUAAUUCAGACAACCGUAUCCCGGUAAUAUUUUGAGAACAAUAUAAUAUUUUUUUAAUUCACUCUAGUGGCUGUUACAGAGAACAUUCACAUAGGUUCUGCUUGGCGGUCACAUUGUUGUAUUCAAUUUAUCAACAUCUAUUAUCUACUCUUUUAAAUGGUGGAUGGUUGGACAAUUAUUUUUUUCUUGUGCAAUGAAUUCAUGCUAUGAGCUGUACUGCUCAAUCUAUUUAUAGGAUGGAUCUGUAGGAAAAUCAAAGAAUCUAAUAGCAGAGAGAUUUUGAAUUUAGCUAAAUAGAAACUUGUGGCAACUGGAUGAGUAUUACAUGUUUUUCUUCUUUUAAAAUUUACGCCAUUUCUAACUCAUAAUCACCACUUAUUUUCAAUGUCCGUUCAUGUGUUCAAUCUUGGUGUCUAUAUUUGCUGGUAAAUAGGUUGACAAGGAAGAAGUGCGCCUGCGUCGGACUAUUGGUUUGAAAAAAGAUGAGUAUUUCAUAGAUGGAAAACACAUAACGUGAGUAUAAGAGGGCAAGUACUAAAAAUUUAUUGUUUAGUGAAAAAUGACAUUUUAUCUCAUGCUCUUUGGUCAUAUUGUAUGAGUAUUAACCUGGGCCCUAAAAAAGAUGAUAAAUGAUCUGCAGAAAAACUGAAGUGGUUAGUUUACUGGAAAUGGCUGGGUUCUCUCGCUCAAAUCCUUAUUAUGUUGUACAACAAGGAAAGGUAAUGGUGCACGCCGAUGGUGCUUUGCUUUGGUGUUUUGGUAUACUCAGUUGAAGUUGAUUUCUAAACUGGUCCCCUUCUUGGUCUUGCAUAGAUAGCAUCACUAACCUUGAUGAAAGACUCUGAACGAUUGGAUUUCCUGAAGGAGAUAGGUGGUACUAGAGUUUAUGAGGAGAGACGUCGUGAAAUUUAUGUUCUCAACCGGGUGUUGUUAAUGGCUGGUGGCAGAGUGCCAAAACUCCGCCAUAUUUGACAAAUAAUGAGGGCGGAUUAUGGUGGAAUAUCGGCCAUGGCGGCUUGCUGGAAUUCUGCCUCAUGUAUUUUUCUGUUAGACAGGUAACAAACGAAAGCAAAUAAUCCAAGACUUACAGUAUUUUGGUGAGAAGCUGAAAGAACUAGAUGAGGAAAAAGAGGAACUUAGAAAAUAUCAGCAACUUGACAAGCAGAGAAAAUCCUUGGAAUAUGCCAUUUAUAAUAAAGAAGUUCAAGAUGCUCGGAAAAAACUUAUAGAGGUUAUCUUGUUAAAAUCUUACCACAUUUAUAAUUAAUUAUUUGCACUAGUUUUACUGUGUUUUAUUAGUUGGAUUUAUUUCUCUGUUGGUGAUUAGAUUGUCAAUCACAUCCAUAUCAGUCAUGAUAUUUUGUUUUAGAUAGAAGAAGCUUGCAACAAGGUUUCUGAAACAUCAUCAAAGAAGUAUAAUGAAGUUCUUGAUGCACAUGAGAAAUCCAAAGAUUUAGAGAAUACAUUGAAAGACGUAACGAAAGAACUUCAAAACUUUAACAAGGAAAAAGAGGUUACUGACAAGAGACGAAAAGAGGCAAUAAAGAAGUACACAGAGCUUGAGCUUGAUGUCAAAGAUUUACAGGAGAAGAUCACUGGAAAUAUCCGAGCCAAAGUACUAUUCUAAUGAAACCAUCUUUGAAGUUCUUCUAAAAGGGAUAGUGGUGUACAUGACUAAUCUAUUAAUCUAUUACCUACAUGCUUUCAGGAAGAUGCUGCAAAGCAACUGAAGAUACUUGAGAAAGAACUAAAAGACUCAAUGGAUGAACUGGCCAAAAUCAGUCCUUUAUAUGAGGAUCAAGUUAAGAAAGAAAAAGAAAUAACGAAACGGUAUGCUAUGGCUGUACAUGUUUACUAUUAUGCAUCAAUAAAGUAUAUUGUAUUUAACUCAUUUAGUGUUUGUAUUCCGUCUGUAACAUUGUAGUAUGUUUUAUGCUCUAUUAUAACAUGUUAAUCUCUUACUUUUUUUUUUGUUCUUAUUUGACUGCAAAAUUUGGAUUAGUUAGAAUACAUGAUGGAGAAAUAUCCUGUAUAUUUCACAUGUUUUCUUUACAGUUUUUCACAAAUCUUAGUUAUGGCAAGACAGCCCUUAUAUAUGGGAAGAAAGUCCUCACCUCUUGAUCUAGCUAUGGUAGAGUUAGGCCUCUCAAAUUCUAAUAAAAACAACGGAAUUUAUUCUAUCAUCUGUAUAGGUUAUUAGAAAGUUUCACUUCCAUCUCUCACAAAUGCAUGAAAUUGUCAGAAUAAUGGAGUGUGAGAAGAAGCUCAGUAUACUAUAUCAAAAGCGAGGACGUGCUACUCAGUUUUCGAGUAAAGCUGCUCGUGAUAAGUGGCUUCAAAAGGAGAUAGUUGACCUUGAAGGGGUUCUUUCUUCAAACACGACACAGGCAAGUGUUAGUUUAUUUGAAUGAGCUAUACUGAAUUAUGGCCCAAAUACUUUUCUUUCUUAGAUGCAGAAAAGUUAUUUGUUUUUCAUUAGGUUGGUAACCUUGUUUCAAUUAGUUUAAGGAUAAUAGCAUGAAUUACAUCUUUCUGCUCUUUAAUGUAUAUGCUGUUGAGAAGUCUCACAUUGACUAGAAAUAUGGCUAAAUAAGUCCAUAUAUAGGGUAGAGCAAUCCUCACCCCUAAGCUAGUUUGGAGUAUAGUUAGGUCUAACCCAAAUUCUAAGAUGACAUCAAAGCCUAUCCUAAAUCUGUUUAUUGGAGACCACUAUAUAUGGGCCCCCAUAGAUGUGCAAUCUUGCAAACUCUAUGCUCCAGAUGUCCAGCCUUGUGUGUGAGGGUGUGUGUUGAUAAGUCCCACAUUGGCUAGAGAUAUGACCUAAUACGUGUUUAUAAAGGGUAGAGCAUAACCCUAAUCUCUGAGAUAGCUUUUAGGUAGAGUUAGGCCUAACCUUCCCAAAUUCUAAGAUGCAUUUUUUCAUUUUUGUUCUGCAUAUUAGAUUGAGUAUUAUUAGGGAAUAGAAUGAAAGAACUGCAAGAUCAGGGAAUAUUGUUAGGAAAUAGGAAUACAAUAUAGAUCCUUUUGUGUCUUCACCCAACAACUUAUGCUUUUAGGCUUGAUGGUUCAUGAAAUCAAAGCCUUUUAUGACCAAGUUAUUUAUUGUUAGAUCUUUUAAGCCUCCAUUUUAACUUGAAUUUCAGUACAAGGUAGGUGGACUCGUACAAUGUCGAGGGUAUGUUAGAAAUACAAUAUCAAACUAUUUAUGUGUCUUCACUCAAAAGUUUAAGUUUUUGGAAUGGUUCAUGACAAGUAUGAUAUCCCCAUGGAGAAACUUUGACGUCCAGUUACUAUGAUAAACAUCUAAGCUUGUUAGUCUAUCUGCAUAUUCAAUCAAGGAACACAUUAUAUUUCCAUUGUCUAAGUUCUAGCAUCAUAAUAAUGAUAGAUAACAAUUGCUUUGCUUUUAUUCAAAUUGGAUAAAUUCUCCCAAAGUUUCUUGUGUAAGGGUGUUUUAAAAAUUUAAUAGAAAACUAUUCAAUUUUCUUCGCCUAAUAGCUUAAGUUUUUGGAAUAAUUAGUUCAUGAAAGUACUUUUAUAUAAACUAUGAUCUCUUCCUCAUUGCUCUCUCCCUUGUUUUUGACUGUUGCUUUGAACCACAGGAGCAAACGCUUAUUGAAGAAAUUGGCCGGCUUAAUGGUGAAUUACAGGAUAAUGAUGAGUACAUCAAGAGAUGUGAAGCAGAUAUUAGUACUAUGAAUUCUCUCAUUGCUCAAUCACGAGAAGGGUUUAAUCAUAAUAAAGUAGAAAGAGACAAGUUGAAUGAUGAGAGGAAGUAUGUAUAUCUUCUUUUGUCCUUUUUAGUGAUAGGUAUUAUAUAUUUUUCUAGAUGAAAGAGGAAUUAUUAUUGGAGAGAAGCAGAAAAGAGUAUUAUGAGAGUGUAGGAUGGGGCAGAAAGGAGAAACAUAGCAAAGAUAAUUCAUGGUUAAGUGAAUAUUCUCAUGAUUUCAAUUGUUGUAUAUAGGUCAUUAUGGGGCAAAGAUAAUGAUCUUACUGCUGAAAUUGAUAAGCUGAGAACAGACAUUGAGACAGCUGAAAAGGGUCUUGAUCAUACAAUUCCUGGAGUGAGUAAUCCCACUUUCUAACUUCUUUUAACAUAAAAUUUCUCCAAACCAAUAUUUUCUUCAUCUGCAAUUGAGCAAUGGAGAUUUCUUGGCAUCUGGGAAGAAUGUAUGCUGCUAUGGAGUUUGAGGAUGAUUUGUCAUGAUGAUAUUUCUUUAGGCUUAUUCUGGGGACUGGUUGCUGAUUUUAUACGUAAUCGUGUAUGGCACUACUGUAAUAUGCAGGAUAUCAGAAGAGGCUUAAAGUCAGUUCGGAGGAUCUGCAAGGAGCGUAACAUUUCUGGAGUUCAUGGCCCAAUUAUUGAGUUGCUGAAUUGUGAUGAAAAAUUUUUCCCCACAGUUGAAGUUACAGCAGGAAACAGGUCAUUUGUCACUGUAUUUCUUUAAAAUAUAUAGCCUCACCAUGGGUACAUCCUUAGCAUCUAGUUGUUCCAUCUUUUUUUAGCUCCAGUUUUUGUUCUUGUCUUGAUCUCUGUUCUGGUUUUAUAUUUUCCACACAUUUGGCUUUAUGUUUUACUGAGAAUCUCUUACAACAGCUUAUUUCAUGUGGUCGUUGAAAGUGAUGACAAGUCAGCCCAGAUAGUUCAACAUCUUAAUUCGCAGAAAGGUGGACGAGUUACAUUUAUUCCUGUUAACAGGGCAAAGGCUCCACACAUCACUUAUCCACAGAGUUCUGAUGUCAUACCUCUUUUGAAGAAGUUGAAUUUUAGAGAUGACUAUAAAUCCGCAUUCAGUAAGGUUAGCUCUAUACAUGAAUUUUAUUUACACAUGGGCAUGUCGCAGCAUCUUCAGGUUCUAUCUGCUGCUAAAUAACAUUACUAAGAUGGUUUAUCUGGUUUUGACAUCACAUAAUAAAAUUUGAUGCACAAUUGAGAAGCAUCUUGAGUUAGGAAAGUAAUGGUAUUGAAGGAUUAUUGUGUUAAUUAGGGGUUAUUGUAAUAUUCUUAUUAAUUAUAAGAUUUCUCCUCUUUUAGAGAUCCUUUCCUAUUCAUUAGGAAUUUUAUCUUUGAGAAGUUAUACACUCUUACAGUAGCAUAUGUUAGAUCUUUAUUAGAAAUAGGUUGACCUAACUCUACCCCAAAAGCUAGCUUAGGGGUGAGGAUUGCUUUACCCAAUAUAUGUGCUUAUUUGGCCAUAUCUGUGGUCAAUGUCAGACUUCUUUAGAGAUCUUAUCUAAUUUUGUUUCAUUAUGAAUUUUUUUAAUUAUAUUUGGGUAAUAAAUACCCUUUUGCUGCCUUGUGUUACUUAAGUUAAUACUGUUGGUUCACAAAAAAAUAUAUUGAACCUCAUGGAUUUUGUUAUGGACUUUUGAGAAUUCAUGGUCGUUGCUGGUUCUCUUCUCCCGUUUUACAUCAAGAAUAUAAGUGUUUGAGGAUUCUAUUCUUCUAGUCGUGUUUGAAUGAUUUAGUUCAGUACUCUAUAUAGGAGUUAAAAUUUCCCUAGCCCAUCUGGUUGUGUUUCUAUUUCGUCCAUGUUUAUUUGUUAAUGUUAAGAUAAAUAGGUCACAUUUCAUAUAUUCAUAUUUCGCUACAUUUGCAUUCUCUUCCUUUCCCCCCUUUUGUUUUGUCAACUUUAGAUGAUGCCUUAUUCCCUUACUGCUGCUAAAACUUUUCCUCCUCUCUCUUAAAAUAUUUCCUUUUUCUAUAAAAAUAAAAUAAUGAUGAUUGGCAGUUUCCAAACUACUGUAACACGUAACACAACCAUCUUGAAGCAAGGCUCAUGUUGCCUAAAAACUUGCAUCAGAUUCUUAUUACCGGGCCCUGAUAUUGCUUCAGUUAAACUCUUUUCUCCACCUGUAUUAUAUAUUUUCUCUUAGGUAUUUGGUAAAACAGUUAUCUGCAAGAAUUUGGAUGUAGCUUCAAGGAUUGCUCGUGCUCAUGGUUUGGACUGCAUAACACUGGAAGGUUGGCCUAAUUCUUCAGAUUGUUUGUCUACAUUAUGUCGUCUGUUGAAGUAUUUUUCCCUGAUUAAUUGUUGUCUAUCUCAUUACAGGUGAUCAAAUAAGCAAGGAAGGUAGUAUGACUGGAGGAUUUUAUGAUCACAGUCGAUCAAGAUUGAAGUUCAUGAGUAUCAUUAAGCAGAAUGCACACAACAUUCGCAUCAGGGAGGAGGAGUUAGAGAAAGUUAGAUUUAAGCAACAUGAUAUCCUUUUAUUCUAAUAAAUGGAUGCUCCUUUUUAUGUAUUCUCAGUUUUUUUUUCUUCGUGAAAACUCAUUCUUUAUAAAAGCCAUAUAAAUUCUUAGGAAAUAAAAGCAAAGUAAAUCCCUUUGACCUAAAUCAACCGAUGAAGUGUUCGAAAUAAAUAUUUCCAAAUUUGAGAAGGGAAACCAUUUUGUAACAAGUACCCAAUGGUCAUAUCUAAUUUUUUUUCUUUCUAUUUGAACACACUUUGGCAUACAUAGAUGGAGACCACGGGGUUUGUAUAUCUGUAAUUUUCUUCUAUUAACUACAACUUAACAAACAGUAAUUUUAACAUGGUUUGGUAAUUACUUUUUCUGGUUUCUUGGAGAUUCAAUUUGCUGUUUAGAUCUAUGUUUUUUAAUGGAUAAAGGUGCCUUGCUUCAUAAAGUUGCUUUAAUAGGAAGGCGUCUUGUCUAAGUUGAAAAUAAGAGGCUCGACCUGGAUUUUAUUACGUAUACAAUUAGGCACAACUUGUGUGCUACUGCACUUUGUUGGUUCCCCAAGUCUUCACAAAAGUUAAUGUUCCUUUUGGACUCUAUUAUUAUACUGUUUCUUACAUUAUUUUCUAAAUUAAUUGAUGAUGAUUGAUUUUCCUUUUGAUGAUUCAUUUCUUCAUCUUAUGGCAAACUUGUUUGUACUAGGGCCUUAAUUUGUUUUUAUAAAAUGCCACAUAUCCAUUAGUUCUGUGAAUGGCUUCUCUGUUGACCAAUUGUCUAUGCUACUCCUAGUUGGACUCCAUUUCCAUCUAUUAUUUUGUUUUUACUGAAUUAAUCUCACAGAUAGAGCAAAAAGUUAAUAAACUUUUAGCUGAGCAGCAGAAGAUUUAUGCCAAGCGUGCUCAUGACAAAUCAGAAAUAGAACAGCUUAGGCAGGACGUUGCUAAUGCUAACAAGCAGAAGCAAUUAAUUUUUAAAGCUCUUGCAAAAAAGGUACUAAUGGAUAUUAUAUCAUACUCAGUUAUCACCUGAGAGCUUCUUUUCUGUGGAGUUGCUUGGGAAAAUUUCACUGCUUAUUCCUUAUCAUUUUUUCCAGAACCAGAUUGAACAACGUAAAGCUAGCUUGGCAAUGAAAAAAACUGAAAUGGGCACGGAUCUCAUUGAUCAUUUAACACCAGAGGAAAAAAAACUUUUGUCAGAUUUGCACCCUGAAAUCAAAGACCUUAGAGAGAAGCUUGUAGCUUGCAAGACUGAUCGCAUUGAGGUUAUUGAAUGAAUUAAAUUGAUGCUCGUAAUCUUUAAAGGGCAAGUGUCCUUAUCUUACCUUAAAUUUUGCAGACUGAAGCACAGAAAGCAGAGCUGGAAACUAAUCAAACUACUAACCUUGAGAGAAGGAAACAAGAGUUGGAAGCUGUAAUAUCAUCUGUGGAUGCUGACUCUUUGGUUGUUGACUCUGAAUUGAAGGGGCAGGAACUUCAUGAUGCUAAAAUAUUGGUUGAUGAUGUAUCGGGACAGUUCAAA
rnacentral:lncRNA from 1 species